rnacentral:lncRNA from 1 species
CAUGCCUGACCAUAUGACUUGCUCCAGCCAAUGAAAUGUAAGCAGAAGUGACAUAUGCAGCAUGACCAGUGGAAGCUUCGAAGAGCUAUUGCCAAUUUCCACCCUCUCUCUGGAAACUGUCAUUAGGGUUAGGGAAACUGUCAUGAGAUCUGCAUAUUUUAGAUAGAGGCUGCUUGCCUUAUUUGGGCACCUAAUGAAAAAGACAUGGAGGCCAGGUGCGGUGGCUCAUGUCUGUAAUCCCAGCACUUUGGGAGGCCAAGGCGAGUGGAUCACCUGAGGUCAGGAGUUCGAGACCAGCCUGACCAACAUGGCAAAACCCCGUCUGUACUAAAAGUGCAAACACAAAGGGAACUGCGUGGCUUGUUUCUACCUGAACAUUGUCAAGUGAUUUCAUCCUUUGAAACACAGUUGUGAAGUGUGUCCAGCAGUCUGAGAACAAGAAGAAGAAGAAAAUCUAAUCCUUCAGGGUGUCUGUGUGCCAGCCCUGCUCUCAGCACUUCCCAUGUGGAACUCCUUUACUUCUCCUAACAACUCCAUGACAUGGGUUAGACUGUGAUUGUUCCCAUAUUGUUGGUAGGGAAACUGAGGCAUGCAGGUGUUACAGAGCUCUCUCAAGUGGCAAGCUUUCUGGGUGGUUACAGAGUGGCAGAGCUGGGGUAUCCCAUGAUGUCACCACACUGCUAUAUGGAAAAGAACAUUAAUCGAGCACCUACGUGCUUGAUUCUCUUAAUUCUGUGACUGAACUCUCAAAACACCCUGGCAGAGCACUGCGUGUUUUGAAAUAUACAAAUAGUGGGAAACGAAAUCUUUGUUCUGGAUGCAGUUAUAAUUUGGAAAGCGAGGAAAUAAAUUAUAACAAGGGGAAAAAACAGAAUACUACUAAAGUCAUGCCGUGUGACUUCUGAAGCUAGCUCCUAAGAAGUCCUUGCAGCUUCUGCCUGCGACUCUUAGAACACUUGCUUUGAAGGAUGCCAGAUGCUGUCUUAAAAGUCUGAGCACUCUGAAACCAUCAUGCUGUGAGGAAGCCCAAGCUAACCACAUGGGCAAAAAAGAUGCCCUCUGACUGCCACCAUUUGAGACACUCUAAUUAAGAACUGCCUCAUUGAGCCCAUGAGGCCCUGUGAAUGAUAAUAAUAAAUUGUUUUUAACCACUAUGUUUUUGGAUUUGUUAUAAGUUUAUAGAUAACAAGAAAAAGUUAUAUUAGCAUGGUAAUAAAAUUAUGGAUAUGUGUAA